rnacentral:rRNA from 1 species
GACGAACGCUGGCGGCGUGCUUAACACAUGCAAGUCGAACGGAAAGGCCCCUUUGGGGGUCCUCGAGUGGCGAACGGGUGAGUAACACGUGAGUAACCUGCCCUUGACUUCGGGAUAACUUCAGGAAACUGGGGCUAAUACCGGAUAGGAAUCCUUGCUGCAUGGUGGGGGUUGGAAAGCUUCGGCGGUUUUGGAUGGACUCGCGGCUUAUCAGCUUGUUGGUGGGGUAGUGGCUUACCAAGGCUUUGACGGGUAGCCGGCCUGAGAGGGCGACCGGCCACAUUGGGACUGAGAGACGGCCCAGGCGCCUACGGGAGGCAGCAGUGGGGAAUAUUGCACAAUGGGCGGCAGCCUGAUGCAGCAACGCCGCGUGCGGGAUGACGGCCUUCGGGUUGUAAACCGCUUUCAGCAGGGGCGAAGCUUGUGGUGACGGUACCUGCAGAAGAAGCACCGGCUAACUACGUG